UUCCGGUUGAUCCCGCCGGACCCGACUGCUAUCAGAGUGGGACUAAGCCAUGCGAGUCAACAUAGCAAUAUGUGGCAUACGGCUCAGUAACACGUAGUCAACAUGCCCAGGGGACGUGGAUAACCUCGGGAAACUGAGGAUAAACCGCGAUAGGUCAUCACUUCUGGAAUGGGUAAUGACUUAAACCUAUAUGGCCCCUGGAUUGGACUGCGGCCGAUCAGGCUGUUGGUGAGGUAAUGGCCCACCAAACCUGUAACCGGUACGGGCUCUGAGAGGAGGAGCCCGGAGAUGGGCACUGAGACAAGGGCCCAGGCCCUAUGGGGCGCAGCAGGCGCGAAACCUCUGCAAUAGGCGAAAGCUUGACAGGGUUACUCUGAGUGAUUUCCGUUAAGGAGAUCUUUUGGCACCUCUAAAAACGGUGCAGAAUAAGGGGUGGGCAAGUCUGGUGUCAGCCGCCGCGGUAAUACCAGCACCCCGAGUGGUCGGGACGUUUAUUGGGCCUAAAGCAUCCGUAGCCGGUUCUACAAGUCUUCCGUUAAAUCCACCUGCUUAACAGAUGGGCUGCGGAAGAUACUAUAGAGCUAGGAGGCGGGAGAGGCAAGCGGUACUCGAUGGGUAGGGGUAAAAUCCGUUGAUCCAUUGAAGACCACCAGUGGCGAAGGCGGCUUGCCAGAACGCGCUCGACGGUGAGGGAUGAAAGCUGGGGGAGCAAACCGGAUUAGAUACCCGGGUAGUCCCAGCUGUAAACGAUGCAGACUCGGUGAUGAGUUGGCUUAUUGCUAACUCAGUGCCGCAGGGAAGCCGUUAAGUUUGCCGCCUGGGGAGUACGGUCGCAAGACUGAAACUUAAAGGAAUUGGCGGGGGAGCACCACAAGGGGUGAAGCCUGCGGUUCAAUUGGAGUCAACGCCGGG
rnacentral:rRNA from 1 species